rnacentral:rRNA from 1 species
UACGGAGGGUGCGAGCGUUGUCCGGAAUCAUUGGGCGUAAAGGGCUCGUAGGCGGUUUGUCGCGUCGGGAGUGAAAACACCGGGCUUAACUCGGUGCUUGCUUUCGAUACGGGCAAACUAGAGGCAUGCAGGGGAGAACGGAAUUCCUGGUGUAGCGGUGAAAUGCGCAGAUAUCAGGAGGAACACCGGUGGCGAAGGCGGUUCUCUGGGCAUGUCCUGACGCUGAGGAGCGAAAGUGUGGGGAGCGAACAGG